GCCCGGCUAGCUCAAUCGGUAGAGCGUGAGACUCUUAUGUGGUUUCCAAUCUCAAGGUUGUGGGUUCGACCCCCACGUCGGGCU